GACAAGAGUGCCAAAGAGGAGGGAUAAAUUACAACCUGGAUGAAAAUAUUCAGUGUUACCUACAGCACUGGGCAGGGGUGUCUAACACUCUUUUGAAGAGAGCAGGCAAGUGGCAACAAGACCUCUUUACUAACAGAUGACAACACUUUGUCAAGCUGGAAUAGACACCAUGCAAAUAUGAAGCAUGUCCAAGUUUGUCAAGGCUGGAUGGGUCUUAUGACAAUCUGUCUCAUUAGAAGACUGAGUUAUGAAAGCCUCCUCUCAUCAUGAUUUGCCCCAUCUCUCACAAUUUAUAACAGAAACAGAUUCCGUACAGUCAACACCAUUUAACAGGAGGCAUCAACUGAGGAACAGAGAUCUACAGAAAGAGUGGGGCAAGAGAGGUCCAGGUGGAAGUUAUAAGCCAUCAUCCACUAUGCUACUAUUUUUAAUAAGAAUGUCAGUUCAUCCAAUAAAAAAUAACAUCAAUAAAACUACAAUGACUAAAUAUGGCAGUUUCUGGGUCUAUCAUGGCUUUGCUGGGGUUUAGUCACUGGUCUUAAUUUUGUUUAUUUCUGCCUAUUUCUUUUUUGUGUGUAAAUUGUCCUGUUGUUUCUGUUAAUUAAAUGUUUUAUGUUGAUUAUGUUAAUUUAUUUAAUCUAAUGCCAACGAACUGUAAAGAAUUUGUGAGGCAGCCAGGAGACAGUCAUUGAAGACAGAAAAAGGGUCAAAAAUGCGAGUGUCAAAGCCAUAACAAGAGACAAAAUUGGAAGGCAAAAUAAACAGGAGGAGAAGACAAAACUACAGAUGAUUUUAAUUCCAUUGAAGAACACAGUGAAUGCUUUGGAAAAGGUUUGUUAUGUGCAGCUCGAAUGGGGAAGUGAACUCUUGGGUAACCCAUCAAACCAUUACUCAAAGGUCAUGACCUCUGUGGACAUGCCCCUAACAAUACGGGCAGCUGCCCUAACAAUGGGAAUCCCAAAAUGGCAGGGGUUGAAUCUUGUUUUGCUUUUUUGCUUCGUAUUUCUAUUGUUUUUUGUUUUCUUUUUAUUAAUUUCAAAGUAAAUGGUUGUAUCUGUUAUGUUAUUAUUAUAUGUUUGAUUGAGUAGCAUGCCAUUGUCAUGUUCUUGUUUUUGAAAAAUAUAAAUAUAUAUUAAAAAAGUCAGCAAAUAUGUAAAACAAACAGUAUUGAAAAGGACCAAAAUAAUAAACAAAAUUUAAAGUAAAUGCAAUGCUGGUGCUAGGUUAUUUUGUGCCCCAGGCCAAGCUUAUUAGUGCGCCAACCAACUGUUCGGUGGCUGACUUGUUACGGCUGGGUUUUUUCCUCCCUUACAAUCUGCUCCCCCUUGCGAUUGACUAAUUCGCCUCAAUGGUAGUGCCUGCCCUGUGUAAAUAGAGAGUUCACAAUAAGGAAUCAGAAUCUAUGACCCAAAAAUUGCCCUGAAAUGAGUUUCAGAUCUCUGAAAUUGACCCA